UACGGAGGGUGCAAGCGUUAUCCGGAUUCACUGGGUUUAAAGGGUGCGUAGGCGGGCAGGUAAGUCAGUGGUGAAAUCUCCGGGCUUAACCCGGAACUGCCGUUGAUACUAUCUGUCUUGAAUAUCGUGGAGGUAAGCGGAAUAUGUCAUGUAGCGGUGAAAUGCUUAGAUAUGACAUAGAACACCAAUUGCGAAGGCAGCUCGUUACACGAAGAUUGACUCUGAGGCACGAAAGCGUGGGGAUCAAACAGG
rnacentral:rRNA from 1 species